UCUUCGGAGAGUUUGAUCCUGGCUCAGGAUGAACGCUGGCGGCGUGCCUAAUACAUGCAAGUCGAGCGAACUGAUUAGAAGCUUGCUUCUAUGACGUUAGCGGCGGACGGGUGAGUAACACGUGGGCAACCUGCCUGUAAGACUGGGAUAACUUCGGGAAACCGAAGCUAAUACCGGA
rnacentral:rRNA from 2 species